GUACAAAUACUCAAGUACUGUACUAAGUUAGAAUUUCAGAGGCACAUAGACACACAUACAGAGACACAGACACAGACACACACAUACAGAGACACAGACACACACACACACACAUACAGAGACACACAUACAGAGACACACAUACAGAGACACAGACACAGACACACACAUACAGAGACACAGACACACACACACACACACAUACAGAGACACAGACAGAGACUCACACACACAGAGACACACACACACACAUACAGAGACAGACACACAGACACACACAUACAGAGACACAGACACACAUACAGAGACACAGACACACACACACACAUACAGAGACACACACACACACAUACAGACUCACACACACACACACAUACAGAGACAGACACACACGCACACACACACACACAGACACAGACACACAUACAGAGACUCACACACACAUACAUACAGAGACACAGACACACACAUACAGAGACUCAGACACAUACACACACACACACACAUACAGAGACUCACACACAUACAGAGACUCAGACACAUACACACACACACAUACAGAGACUCACACACACACACACAUACAGAGACUCAGACACAUACACACACAUACACACACAUACAGAGACUCACACACAUACAGAGACUCAGACACAUACACACACACACACACACAUAGAGACUCACACACACACACACACAGAGACUCACACACAUACAGAGACACAGACACACACACACAUACAGAGACUCACACACACGCAUACAGACACACGUACAGACAGACACACAUACAGACACACACACCACACAGAGACAGACACAUACAGGACUCAGACACACACACCCAUACAUACAGACAGACACACACACACACACAUACAUACAGAGACUCACACACACAUACAUACAGAGACACAGACACAUACAUACAGAGACUCACACACACACGCAUACAGACACACGUACAGACAGACACACAGACACACACACACCGCACAGAGACAGACACAUACAGGACUCAGACACACACACACACACACACAUACAUACAGAGACUCACACACACAU
rnacentral:lncRNA from 1 species